GGCAGUCUAGUGAUGAUCUAUGAGCUUUUUGUUAUUGGCUUGUAAUGAGACAGGUAUAGAAACUAAAUUAUAUUUGUGUUACUUACCAGUGGUAAGCAACUAUUAUAAAAUUUGGUAUUACUGAAACAUACAAGCACAUAAUCAGACACAUUUUUGGAGCAGAAUAUAGAAUAGCUCAGAUGAUUUGAGAAGCACUGAUGGAGAAGUCGAGUUCCUUAUUCAGAUAUUAAGCCAAUCUUACUCUUUCCAAUGUCAUCUUGGUGACCCAAUUGUGACAAGAAUGUCCAGAUACAGUUUGGUGUUGUGAACUGGUUGGCUUCCCCGUUUUGCAGAUAGAACUACAAAAAUAGAAUACACACUCAAUGGGCUGACCAACUGAUUCAUAACAUCUUUAUUGGAGAAUGAACUUUCUUUUUCUCUCCAGGCCCCCUGUAACCCCUGUCUGGUAUUUUCUACAUGACUGAUUCCUCUCUAGAGCCAGAACUAUGGAAUCUUAAGAGAAUCUGUAUUUCUUUAAAAAGAAUAAAUAUCUUAUGACACUCUU
rnacentral:lncRNA from 10 species